CCUGAUAUUAAAGCUGCCAAAGAUAGGGAUGAUCUCCCUUACCUUUUCUAUAUACUUGGCCAUACUGUCCUCCCGAGCUUCAUAAUUUCUACUGACCUAUCCCACUACUAAUUGGGAGUCACUAUAGGCUUGAAGCUGAUCUACCUCUAACUCUUUGGUGAUCCUUAGUCUCACAAUCAGAGCUUCGUAUUCUGCUAUGUUAUUUGUCGCAGGAAAUUUGAAGCACAGUGCAUACUCUACGAUAAUUCAUCUGGAUUGACCAAGACCAGGCCCGCGCCUGUGCCUGACAUGUUGGAAGAACCAUCCACAUAGAGGGCCCAA
rnacentral:lncRNA from 1 species